GGCGGGAAAAAAAGUUUGGCGGA
rnacentral:siRNA from 1 species